GCCUGGGUGGCUCAGUCUGUUAAGCAUCCGACUUUGGCUCAGGUCACGAUCUCGCGGUCCGCGAGUUCGAGCCCCGCCUCGGGCU
rnacentral:tRNA from 1 species